rnacentral:rRNA from 1 species
GAUGAACGCUGGCGGCGUGCUUAACACAUGCAAGUCGAACGGAAAGGCCCAAGCUUGCUUGGGUACUCGAGUGGCGAACGGGUGAGUAACACGUGGGUGAUCUGCCCUGCACUUCGGGAUACGCCUGGGAAACUGGGUCUAAUACCGGAUAGGACGAUGGUUUGGAUGCCAUUGUGGAUAGUUUUUUCGGUGUGGGAUGAGCUCGCGGCGUAUCAGCUUGUUGGUGGGGUAAUGGCCUACCAAGGCGUCGACGGGUAGCCGGCCUGAGAGGGUGUACGGCGACAGUGGGACUGAGAUAAGGCCCAGACACCGACGGGAGGGAGAAGUGGGGAAGAUUGAACAAGGGGCGCAAGCCUGAUGCAGAGAGGCCGCGUGGGGGAUGACGGCCUUCGGGUUGUAAACUGCUGUCGCGAGGGACGAAGCGUUUUUGUGACGGUACCUGGAGAAGAAGCACCGGCUAACUACGUG